CAGCCGCCACGGUAAUACGUAGGUCCCGAGCGUUGUCCGGAUUUAUUGGGCGUAAAGCGAGCGCAGGCGGUUAGAUAAGUCUGGAGUUAAAGGCUGUGGCUUAACCAUAGUACGCUUUGGAAACUGUUUAACUUGAGUGCAAGAGGGGAGAGUGGAAUUCCAUGUGUAGCGGUGAAAUGCGUAGAUAUAUGGAGGAACACCGGUGGCGAAAGCGGCUCUCUGGCUUGUAACUGACGCUGAGGCUCGAAAGCGUGGGGAGCAAACAGGAUUAGAUACCCGCGUAGUCCCUGUCUCUUAUACA
rnacentral:rRNA from 1 species